rnacentral:rRNA from 7 species
AGAGUUUGAUCAUGGCUCAGAUUGAACGCUGGCGGCAGGCCUAACACAUGCAAGUCGAACGGUAACAGGAAGCAGCUUGCUGCUUUGCUGACGAGUGGCGGACGGGUGAGUAAUGUCUGGGAAACUGCCUGAUGGAGGGGGAUAACUACUGGAAACGGUAGCUAAUACCGCAUAACGUCGCAAGACCAAAGAGGGGGACCUUAGGGCCUCUUGCCAUCGGAUGUGCCCAGAUGGGAUUAGCUAGUAGGUGGGGUAACGGCUCACCUAGGCGACGAUCCCUAGCUGGUCUGAGAGGAUGACCAGCCACACUGGAACUGAGACACGGUCCAGACUCCUACGGGAGGCAGCAGUGGGGAAUAUUGCACAAUGGGCGCAAGCCUGAUGCAGCCAUGCCGCGUGUAUGAAGAAGGCCUUCGGGUUGUAAAGUACUUUCAGCGGGGAGGAAGGGAGUAAAGUUAAUACCUUUGCUCAUUGACGUUACCCGCAGAAGAAGCACCGGCUAACUCCGUGCCAGCAGCCGCGGUAAUACGGAGGGUGCAAGCGUUAAUCGGAAUUACUGGGCGUAAAGCGCACGCAGGCGGUUUGUUAAGUCAGAUGUGAAAUCCCCGGGCUCAACCUGGGAACUGCAUCUGAUACUGGCAAGCUUGAGUCUCGUAGAGGGGGGUAGAAUUCCAGGUGUAGCGGUGAAAUGCGUAGAGAUCUGGAGGAAUACCGGUGGCGAAGGCGGCCCCCUGGACGAAGACUGACGCUCAGGUGCGAAAGCGUGGGGAGCAAACAGGAUUAGAUACCCUGGUAGUCCACGCCGUAAACGAUGUCGACUUGGAGGUUGUGCCCUUGAGGCGUGGCUUCCGGAGCUAACGCGUUAAGUCGACCGCCUGGGGAGUACGGCCGCAAGGUUAAAACUCAAAUGAAUUGACGGGGGCCCGCACAAGCGGUGGAGCAUGUGGUUUAAUUCGAUGCAACGCGAAGAACCUUACCUGGUCUUGACAUCCACGGAAGUUUUCAGAGAUGAGAAUGUGCCUUCGGGAACCGUGAGACAGGUGCUGCAUGGCUGUCGUCAGCUCGUGUUGUGAAAUGUUGGGUUAAGUCCCGCAACGAGCGCAACCCUUAUCCUUUGUUGCCAGCGGUCCGGCCGGGAACUCAAAGGAGACUGCCAGUGAUAAACUGGAGGAAGGUGGGGAUGACGUCAAGUCAUCAUGGCCCUUACGACCAGGGCUACACACGUGCUACAAUGGCGCAUACAAAGAGAAGCGACCUCGCGAGAGCAAGCGGACCUCAUAAAGUGCGUCGUAGUCCGGAUUGGAGUCUGCAACUCGACUCCAUGAAGUCGGAAUCGCUAGUAAUCGUGGAUCAGAAUGCCACGGUGAAUACGUUCCCGGGCCUUGUACACACCGCCCGUCACACCAUGGGAGUGGGUUGCAAAAGAAGUAGGUAGCUUAACCUUCGGGAGGGCGCUUACCACUUUGUGAUUCAUGACUGGGGUGAAGUCGUAACAAGGUAACCGUAGGGGAACCUGCGGUUG